ACUCCUACGGGAGGCAGCAGUGGGGAAUAUUGCACAAUGGGCGCAAGCCUGAUGCAGCCAUGCCGCGUGUAUGAAGAAGGCCUUCGGGUUGUAAAGUACUUUCAGCAGUGAGGAAGGUGGUAUGUUAAUAGCAUAUUCAUUGACGUUUAGCUGCAGAAGAAGCACCGCUAACUCCGUGCCAGCAGCCGCGGUAAUACGGAGGGUGCGAGCGUUAAUCGGAAAUUACUGGGCGUAAAGCGCAUGCAGGUGGUUUGUUAAGUCAGAUGUGAAAGCCCGGGGCUCAACCUCGGAAUUGCAUUUGAAACUGGCAAACUAGAGUACUGUAGAGGGGGGUAG
rnacentral:rRNA from 1 species